UAGUUGACGAGGCAACAAUUAUUUUAUAUUUUUUAAUUGUUUAUAUUAAAUUUUGGUUUGGAAAGGAAGGAAACCUGAGUGUUGACAGGGAAGCGGCUUGACUAUUAAAAAGGAGAAUGCAUGAUAAGUCCCACAUUGGAAAACACUUCAAUGUAUGAAAGCUUUAUAUAUGGUCGUUUAACAGCAAAGCUCGUCCCUUCGGGGACAUCCGAUAAAAUUGGAACGAUACAGAGAAGAUUAGCAUGGCCCCUGCGCAAGGAUGACAUGCAUAAAUCGAGAAAUGGUCCAAAUUUUUUUUGCACCUUUUGCGAUAUUUUUUUUCAUUUUCCUGCCUUCUCCAUGGUGUUGAAUGCAGUUGCAGAGGCUUUAUAAGCUACCGGAGAGCAAUGAGCAUUUGCAUUUAUAGGCUUCGACGGUUCAGGGUUUAGGGUUUACAGUUCGUGGGCUUAAUCGUUGAUCUUCCUGGUGAUUGUAGACUGCAAGGAUAGAACAAACAGCAGAGAAUUUUACAGUACUGUGGCUGCAAAGAAGUUAUGGAAUGAAGCAGCCAAGGUUACCUUGUCAUCACCAAAUUUUGCCCAAAAGCGUGCAGUGGCUCUCUCAAGAGGAUCUUCAGGCAGCAAGGGAUUUUCCUUCCAAGUUUCAUCAAUGUAUUCAAGAA